GUUCUGACCCCUGACCUCUGCUGCCAUGUCCCGGAAUCGGUUGGGAUUGGUUUGGUUGGGUAAGCUAUACUCUAGCAAAGGGCACUCUGCUGUCUAUAAAUAAAUUAAUAAAUUAUUUAUUGGUUUUUUGAAGUAAGUCCAUCUUAAAAGUAUUAACACGUUGUAAAGUAUUACACGUUGCUCACAUUCUUUCGUUCUUGUCUGUACUAACUAUAAUAUCAGCUGAAUAAUUGUAACCCUUAACAGGGUAUGUACGCCACCGACUACCAACAACAGCUGCUCACCGGUUUGGCUUGGUUUCGGGUUAAAUACGUAGAAAUUAAAUUAAAUAUGCCCGCGGUUAAGUGUCGUUGCAGGUUGCCCUUCCACAAACACAAAGGGAUUGGGCGCAGGACUAGGCUUUAAAUCCAAUUAAGAUGAUAUCCGGGGGGAGUUCUCAGGCAGGUGAGUGUGUACGCAAGUCACGUGCAUGGGCUGAUCGAAUAUUGGGGCAUUAGGCUCUUAGAUAACCAACGCCGUAGGAAAACGAAUUGUCUAUCCAGCGCCACAGAUAACUUUUCAUUUAAAGUGCGAGUUUGGCCUUUCUCCGCGACACUUGACUUCUUCCUAAUUGUUAUGAGCGCAUAAAUUUCAAUUUAUUUCUUUCCAACUAUGCGCUUGUCACAGAGUUCAUCGAUUUUAUCGGUUUCCUCUUCAAAGGAAGCUGCGCCAAGUCUUCAUUUCGAGCUCUUGGGAAACUCAUCAUCCGUCGGCUAGAACAAAUCGAGUGUGAAAUUCGAUAAGUGGUUGGCAUUGUCUGAGAGCCAGACGACCACAAACUGCCACUUGAAGUCGGGAUUUUUGUUUACGAACAACCAAAAUCGUCAAAUACGAAACUCUAAUGGGUGAAUUGUGAAUUACGUUCUACUUUAUGUGACUUUUACGAUGGCCAUUCAAAUUAGCUUCGUGUUUCUGGAAUAAAAAUUGGUCUGUUAACUAUUAAUUCAUUUUUGCUGUCCUCAACCGUUUUUUUUUUUACUUUUUCUGAGAUCAAAAGUGAAUUGAAAGUUUGCAAUCCAAAAAGAUCUUCUUCUUUAAAUCGAGCCUAAUUUUUGGCAAUUACAAGGCCAACCACUUGACUUAUGACUGCUCGACCACCACCGAGCGAUCCGCCCCAGCUCCUCGGGGCGACUAAAUCGCUACUAAGUAUUAUACUAUAUAUGUAUAUAGAUUGAAUGGCGGGGCAACGCACACAGAGAAACACAAGGGUGCUUGGGAGUAGAGCACACACUAAAGACACUAAGCACGACAAAAAGACAUUAAACACGGCAACGAAAUAAAAAAACAUUGAAGUUC